rnacentral:rRNA from 1 species
CGCGUAGGCGGCUUUUUAAGUCAGGGGUGAAAUCCCGGAGCUCAACUCCGGAACUGCCCUUGAAACUGGAUGGCUAGAAUACUGGAGAGGUGAGUGGAAUUCCGAGUGUAGAGGUGAAAUUCGUAGAUAUUCGGAAGAACACCAGUGGCGAAGGCGACUCACUGGACAGUUAUUGACGCUGAGGUGCGAAAGCGGUGGGGAGCAAACA